rnacentral:rRNA from 19 species
AGGCAAGCAUGGCGUUGGUUGUCCAUGUGAAAGGCUGUAGGCUGGUGACUUAGGAAAAUCCGGGUUGCUAAGGCUGAGAGUCGAGACGAGCCACUAAGGUGGUGAAGUUGUUGAUGCCCUACUUCCAGGAAAAGCCUCUAAGCUUCAGUUCAUACUGAAUCGUACCCUAAACCGACACAGGUGGUCAGGUAGAGAAUACUAAGGCGCUUGAGAGAACUCGGGUGAAGGAACUAGGCAAAAUUGUACCGUAACUUCGGGAGAAGGUACGCUCUUGUUUGUGAAAGACUUGCUCUGUAAGCAAACGAGAGCCGCAGUGACCAGGUGGCUGGGACUGUUUAUUAAAAACACAGCACUGUGCAAAAUCGUAAGAUGACGUAUACGGUGUGACACCUGCCCGGUGCCGGAAGGUUAAUUGAUGGGGUUAGCUUAGGCGAAGCUCUUGAUCGAAGCCCCGGUAAACGGCGGCCGUAACUAUAACGGUCCUAAGGUAGCGAAAUUCCUUGUCGGGUAAGUUCCGACCUGCACGAAUGGUGUAACCAUGGCCACGCUGUCUCCACCCGAGACUCAGUGAAAUUGAAAUCGCAGUGAAGAUGCUGUGUACCCGCGGCUAGACGGAAAGACCCCGUGAACCUUUACUACAGCUUGGCACUGAACAUUGACCCUACAUGUGUAGGAUAGGUGGGAGGCUUUGAAGCAGGAACGCUAGUUUCUGUGGAGCCGACCUUGAAAUACCACCCUUGUAGUGUUGAUGUUCUAACUUAGGCCCCUGAACCGGGGUUGAGGACAGUGCCUGGUGGGUAGUUUGACUGGGGCGGUCUCCUCCCAAAGAGUAACGGAGGAGCACGAAGGUUUGCUAAGUACGGUCGGACAUCGUACGGUUAGUGUAAUGGUAGAAGCAAGCUUAACUGCGAGACAGACACGUCGAGCAGGUACGAAAGUAGGUCAUAGUGAUCCGGUGGUUCUGAAUGGAAGGGCCAUCGCUCAACGGAUAAAAGGUACUCCGGGGAUAACAGGCUGAUACCGCCCAAGAGUUCAUAUCGACGGCGGUGUUUGGCACCUCGAUGUCGGCUCAUCACAUCCUGGGGCUGAAGUCGGUCCCAAGGGUAUGGCUGUUCGCCAUUUAAAGUGGUACGCGAGCUGGGUUUAGAACGUCGUGAGACAGUUCGGUCCCUAUCUGCCGUGGGCGUUUGAGAAUUGAGAGGGGCUGCUCCUAGUACGAGAGGACCGGAGUGGACGAACCGCUGGUGUUCGGGUUGUGAUGCCAAUUGCAUUGCCCGGUAGCUACGUUCGGAACUGAUAACCGCUGAAAGCAUCUAAGCGGGAAGCAGGCCUCGAGAUGAGUUCUCACUUUGACUUAGAGUCAACUGAAGGGCCGUUGAAGACUACAACGUUGAUAGGCGAGAUGUGGAAGUGCUGUGAGGCAUUAAGCUAACUCGUACUAAUUACCCGAGAGGCUUAACCAUACAACGCCAAAGUGGUUU